rnacentral:misc_RNA from 1 species
CCAGAAAUCUCCAGCUUGAAAGGUAAUGAGUGGAGAAGAAUUCAACAUCUCCACUGUAGUGUUGCCUUCACGGGUUCAACGGUCAGUAGGAAAAUGAUCCAUCAAGCUCUUACAUAUGCUCCAUAUUAUGAGGCUUGGAUAAUGAAGGGAUAUAGCCCCAGCGGACAAGAUUGUCCAAUUUCUGCAGUGACCCAUUACCUGGACGUAAGUAUCAUAGGUUGCAAAGAAUGGUAAUUUUUUGCUCAAUGUUGAUGGAUGGGAACUAGUCUUUUACAAUCUAUAUUU